AUUGAACGCUGGCGGCAUGCCUUACACAUGCAAGUCGAACGGUAACGGGCCUUCGGGUGCCGACGAGUGGCGAACGGGUGAGUAAUACAUCGGAACGUGCCCGAUCGGGGGGGAUAACGAGGCGAAAGCUUUGCUAAUACCGCAUACGAUCUACGGAUGAAAGCAGGGGACCGCAAGGCCUUGCGCGGACGGAGCGGCCGAUGGCAGAUUAGGUAGUUGGUGGGAUAAAAGCUUACCAAGCCGACGAUCUGUAGCUGGUCUGAGAGGAUGAUCAGCCACACUGGGACUGAGACACGGCCCAGACUCCUACGGGAGGCAGCAGUGGGGAAUUUUGGACAAUGGGCGCAAGCCUGAUCCAGCCAUGCCGCGUGCAGGAUGAAGGCCUUCGGGUUGUAAACUGCUUUUGUACGGAACGAAAAGCCUUCUUUUAAUACAGGAGGGUCAUGACGGUACCGUAAGAAUAAGCACCGGCUAACUACGUG
rnacentral:rRNA from 1 species